CAUCCUGGGGCUGUAGUCGGUCCCAAGGGUUGGGCUGUUCGCCCAUUAAAGCGGUACGCGAGCUGGGUUCAGAACGUCGUGAGACAGUUCGGUCCCUAUCCGUCGUGGGCGCAGGAAAUUUGAGAGGAUCUGUCCUUAGUACGAGAGGACCGGUAUGGACAUACCUCUGGUGUACCAGUUGUUCUGCCAAGAGCACCGCUGGGUAGCUACGUAUGGAUUAGAUAAUCGCUGAAAGCAUCUAAGUGAGAAACUAACCUCGAGAUGAGAUUUCCCAUUCGUCAGAAGUAAGACCCCUGAGAGACGAUCAGGUAGAUAGGCUAGAAGUGGAAGUGUAGUGAUGCAUGGAGCGGACUAGUACUAAUAGGUCGAGGACUUAACCAAG
rnacentral:rRNA from 1 species